GAGUUGCUAGCUCAGUGGUGGAGUGUAUGCUUCUUAUGUAUGAUAUCUUGGGUCCAAUCCCCACGUUCCCCU